rnacentral:rRNA from 1 species
UACGGAGGGUGCAAGCGUUAUCCGGAUUCACUGGGUUUAAAGGGUGCGUAGGAGGGCAGGUAAGUCAGUGGUGAAAUCUCCAAGCUUAACUUGGAAACUGCCGUUGAUACUAUCUGUCUUGAAUGUUGUGGAGGUGAGCGGAAUAUGUCAUGUAGCGGUGAAAUGCUUAGAUAUGACAUAGAACACCAAUUGCGAAGGCAGCUCACUACACAAUUAUUGACUCUGAGGCACGAAGGCGUGGGGAUCAAACAGG